UACGGAGGGUGCAAGCGUUAUCCGGAUUCACUGGGUUUAAAGGGUGCGUAGGUGGAUUGGUAAGUCAGUGGUGAAAUCUCCGGGCUUAACCCGGAAACUGCCAUUGAUACUAUCAGUCUUGAAUACCGUGGAGGUCAGUGGAAUAUGUCAUGUAGCGGUGAAAUGCUUAGAUAUGACAUAGAAUACCAAUUGCGAAGGCAGCUGGCUACACGAAUAUUGACACUCAGGCACGAAAGCGUGGGGAUCAAACAGG
rnacentral:rRNA from 1 species